AUACGGAGGAAGCGAGCGUUAUCCGGAUUUAUUGGGUUUAAAGGGAGCGUAGGCGGGAGCUUAAGUCAGCGGUUAAAUGGUGCGGCUCAACCGUGCCCUGCCGUUGAAACUGGAUUUCUUGAAAGUGCAAGAGGCGGAUGGAAUUCAUGGUGUAGCGGUGAAAUGCUUAGAUAUCAUGAAGAACUACGAUUGCGAAGGCAGUCCGCUGGGGCACGUCUGACGCUGAUGCUCGAAGGUGCGGGAAUCAAACAGGAUUAGAUACCCUGGUAGUCCGCACGGUAAACGAUGAUUACCCGCUGUCGGCGGUAGACAGUCGGCGGCCAAGCGAAAGCGAUAAGUAAUCCACCUGGGGAGUACGACCUCAAGGUUGAAACUCAAAUGAAUUGGCGGGG
rnacentral:rRNA from 1 species